rnacentral:misc_RNA from 1 species
UUGGAUGGCCUGGCCGUCCU